CCCUUUAGAAGUCACUUGGGUCAUAAGUUAACCCGAUAGGAAGUGUCCUGGCCAAUGAACUAGGGAGGUGGUAAAUGGCACCAUUUUAAAUUUAAAUUCACGGCCUUUUCAACGGAUCAGUAGCCAUGUUGGGUAAGAGUGCAAAUGUCAGAGGUGAAAAGAGGCAGCAGGACCCUCCCCUAGUGCUUGGGCAACAGAAGGUGGAAUCACUAAGGGGACAAGACUUUAGCAUGCUCAAGUACACAGGACAGAAAACAUGCUUUUUACAAAAGCUGGUAAAUAUGAAGAGGGAACAUUUUCAAGUUCCUGUAACCAAGAACUACCGCCUGUAACCGGUGAAAGUGACUUUCUAUGGCAAAAGCGUUUUUGAAAAGGUCUUCCAUCGACGGACUCCCUAAAAAGCCAGCGGCGUGGAGGGGCGCCCUCUAUUGGACAAAUAGAUCUUGACUACUUUCGGCCCUCAAAUAGCCUGACUAGGCAAAUAACAAAUAAUAAUAAUUUUUUUUUAAAUCAUGGAAAAUAUUUUAAAAAACAAUUAAAAAGUUAUAAAUCUA
rnacentral:lncRNA from 10 species